rnacentral:rRNA from 1 species
GACGAACGCUGGCGGCGUGCCUAAUACAUGCAAGUCGAACGCAGUGGGGACGGGUGAGUAACACGUGGGUAACCUCCCAUCAGAGGGGAUAACACUUGGAAACAGGUGCUAAACCGAUACUGAUGGAUGGACCCGCGGUGCAUUAGCUAGUUGGUGAGGGAACGGCUCACCAAGGCCACGAUGCAUAGCCGACCUGGGAGGGUGAGCGGACACACUGGUAGUGAGAAACGGCCCAGACGACUAAGGGAGGCAGCAGUAGGGAAUCGUCGGCAAUGGACGAAAGUCGGACCGAGAAACGCCGCGUGAGUGAAGAAGGUUUUCGGAGCGUAAAACUCUGUGGUUAGAGAAGCGGUAUCUAACCAGAAAGCCACGGCUAACUACGUGCCAGCAGCCGCGGUAAUAC